UGAGGAGCGAAAGGGUGGGGAGCAAACAGGCUUAGAUACCCUGGUAGUCCACCCCGUAAACGUUGGGAACUAGUUGUGGGGUCCAUUCCACGGAUUCCGUGACGCAGCUAACGCAUUAAGUUCCCCGCCUGGGGAGUACGGCCGCAAGGCUAAAACUCAAAGGAAUUGACGGGGACCCGCACAAGCGGCGGAGCAUGCGGAUUAAUUCGAUGCAACGCGAAGAACCUUACCAAGGCUUGACAUAUAGAGGAAACGUCUGGAAACAGUCGCCCCGCAAGGUCUCUAUACAGGUGGUGCAUGGUUGUCGUCAGCUCGUGUCGUGAGAUGUUGGGUUAAGUCCCGCAACGAGCGCAACCCUCGUUCUAUGUUGCCAGCACGUAAUGGUGGGAACUCAUGGGAUACUGCCGGGGUCAACUCGGAGGAAGGUGGGGAUGACGUCAAAUCAUCAUGCCCCUUAUGUCUUGGGCUUCACGCAUGCUACAAUGGCCGGUACAAAGGGCUGCAAUACCGUAAGGUGGAGCGAAUCCCAAAAAGCCGGUCCCAGUUCGGAUUGAGGUCUGCAACUCGACCUCAUGAAGUCGGAGUCGCUAGUAAUCGCAGAUCAGCAACGCUGCGGUGAAUACGUUCCCGGGCCUUGUACACUCCGCCCA
rnacentral:rRNA from 1 species